UUUCUUUAGGGAUGAACAAGUUCCUGAUAAUUGAAUUCAUUCAUCACUUUGUCUACAUCACCGUUUUCAUGUUUUGCUGAUCAUUAUCGUAUGUUACAAUU